rnacentral:rRNA from 1 species
GGAAGCACCGGCUAACUCCGUGCCAGCAGCCGCGGUAAUACGGGGGGUGCAAGCGUUGUUCGGAAUUAUUGGGCGUAAAGCGCGUGUAGGCGGUCUGAUUAGUCUGAUGUGAAAGCCCUGGGCUCAACCCAGGAAGUGCAUUGGAUACUGUCAGACUUGAAUACGGGAGAGGGUAGUGGAAUUCCUAGUGUAGGAGUGAAAUCCGUAGAUAUUAGGAGGAACACCGGUGGCGAAGGCGGCUACCUGGACCGAUAUUGRCGCUGAGACGCGAAAGCGUGGGUAGCAAACAGGAUUAGAUACCCUGGUARUCGCACGCCGUAAACGAUGAGAACUAGGUGUCRCGRRUMCAYRKUAGGRR